UACGUAGGGAGCAAGCGUUGUCCGGAAUCAUUGGGCGUAAAGCGCGCGUAGGCGGCCUCGUAAGUCCGUUGUGAAAGUCAAAGGCUCAACCUUUGAAAGCCGAUGGAUACUGUGAGGCUAGAGUCCGGAAGAGGAGAGUGGAAUUCCUGGUGUAGCGGUGAAAUGCGCAGAUAUCAGGAAGAACACCAAUGGCGAAAGCAGCUCUCUGGGACGGUACUGACGCUGAGACGCGAAAGCGUGGGGAGCGAACAGG
rnacentral:rRNA from 1 species